ensembl:snoRNA small nucleolar RNA SNORA79
CGACGUCUGUUCCUCCGCCUGCCCUCAGCUCAGGCAGUGUGGAUUUUAUGGCGUCGCAGAGUGAAAGCGGUCUAUUUCACCCAGCAGGUUUCAGGCAGCAGGGCUGCCGCUGUGGCCUCUUGGUUUUGCGGGACCGCACAAAC